UUCACUGACCCGGGUGGAGCUGGAAAAGGCCACACAGAGGCAGGAGAGGUUCACGGACUGCACGGCUCUGUUGGAAAUGGAAAAGAAGG